rnacentral:rRNA from 1 species
UACGGGGGGUGCGAGCGUUAAUCGGAAUUAUUGGGCGUAAAGGGUGCGUAGGUGGUUAUUUAAGUUAGUUGUGAAAGACCUGGGCUUAACCUGGGGGAGUGAACUAAGACUGGAUGACUUGAGUACAGGAGAGGGCAGUGGAAUUUCCGGUGUAGCGGUGAAAUGCGUAGAGAUCGGAAGGAACACCGGCGGCGAAGGCGGCUGCCUGGUCUGUUACUGACACUGAGGCACGAAAGCGUGGGGAGCAAACAGG